GGGGGAAAUUCUAAUUUCUUUACAGCGGUGUUUGAACAAAAUGGCAUAUUCCGUGGGCUGGAUGAUAGAAGGACAUUUUGUUGAAGCACUCAAGAGGAGUAAUACUAUUGUGAUGCCAACACAUGGUGAAUAAACUUUAUAUUUGAGUUAAAUACAUUGAAGGUGCCUCAACUUGUCAUGCGCGGUCAGUUUAGUGCCUAAAGUUGCAAAAUACAUGAAACUGAUGUUCGAACUUGUCCGGCCAUGCAAAUACGGUGCCUCCAUACGUACAUGGACGUAUAUCCAGCCCGUGUGACGUGCUAGCGUGGCAGUGGCCCACCUGUCAUUGGCUGAGAGUUAGGAAGGGUUGGGUGGCACGCACGCUGAGGAUUUUUUUAUAGAAACCCCGCUCAUAUUUUAUUUAAUCAGAUAGGAAAACCCCACAAAUUAGAAAAAGAAAACCAUGUGAGUAUUUUUUUUAUAGAAAACCCCUUCAUAUUACAUGCACGGAGUGUUCACCGUGCCAUACUCUACACAGUAGAUGUUGACGAAUUCGAACUCGAUCUCUAUACUGCAAUGCUAUGCAAAAAAUAACUUUGGAGCACGAACACGCGUUGUGUCCUUUUUUUUCGAAGUUUAAAGAAACGGAUUUUUACAGCUAAAAAAAUUCUAAGUAUUUUGUACAUGCACACAUAGAAGUGUAAUAUAUCCGUGUGAAUUUUCAUCAAAAUCUAUGUUUGUAUGUGGGAGAUAAAAAAAGGAAAAUACAUGCAAAAAUCAGCUUGUUUUUCUGGCCGGAUUUUUGUCUUUUUUUUGCAGGGUAUAAUACAACAUAAUUUCGAACGAAACUUGAAAGUCACUUAGAGCACAUGCAUACGUUUUUGUGUGAAAACUAUUAACUCUUUUUGAAACUUUUAAGUGCCAUUUUUAGCCUUUCAAAACAAGCAUGCUCAAUGGCCACCAUGCUCCAAAAACCGGUUGCUAUAUACCUCUUCAAGUGAUUUUUAUUUAUAUAUGGUGCUUCUAUGGACUCGCACAAGUUUUAUUUUUAUUUUUUUCAUGUAAUUUAUUUUUAUUUUUCAUAUUUUUUACCAUUAAAAAAAUAAAUGUAAGAAAAAAAUUACAACUUCAUAAACUUAAAAAAGUGAUAGUGCAUUUAAAAAUGUUCAACAUGUUUUUGGAAAAUGUCUCACAUGUAUUAAAAGAUUAGAACGUAUUUUUGGAAAAUGUUCGUCUUGCAAUAAAAAAUGUUAAUGUGUAUUUUGAAAAAAGUUCAAAAAACUUAAUUCUGUAACAUUUUGAUAACUGUAUUAAAAAGUUCAACAUAGUAGUUUUUAAUGCAUGUUGAAUAGUUUACAAAAUACAUCUUUGUCAACUUGUUAAUAAUUGGGUAUUUUAGAAAUACAAUGAAGAUGUUUGUUGUCCAGAAUGAACAUACAUAAAUUUACGCAAUAAUUUAUAAUAUAGUUUGAACUAUUUCAAUCUCCAUAAUUUUUUGAAAAAGUUCAUGUUUGCCUCUUCAAAGUACACAAUAAUGAAAAUAGAAAAAAAUUCAAAUAAGAAAUAAGUUCAUAUUAUACUUAUUAUAUGGAAAGUUUACGUGCCAUGAAACGAAACAUGAACUUGGAAAAGAAAAUAAACCCAUAGAUAACGCAUUAGGAAAACUGCAGAGCAAUAUGUGGAAACUGUCUAUUUCUAUGGACAGUUUGAGAUGUAUUUGACCAGGAACUGCUUGGGUCGAAACCCCUUCAAUUUGAUUUUUUUUCAUGUUAUUUCACAUUAGCAUACACUUUAUUUCAGAUCUUUCCUAUGUGAUUAAAAAAAUUCAAGUGGGUUUCUGUAUAAAGAAAAUCUCACGCGCACAGCACCCAUCACUUUCGCGCUAUCAUCCACACAGGUGCGCCACCGCCAUGCUGGCACACCACGUGUGCUAGACGUAUGUUAGAAUACGAAAGGAGGCACUGCAUUUGCACGGCCAGACAAGUUCGAGCACCACGUUUGUGUAUUUUGCAACUUUGGGCACCAAACUGACCGUGCAAGACAAGUUGAGGCACCUCCAGUGUAUUUAACUCUUUAUAUUUUGUAAUGCUCUAAAUCCUGCACUGUGUUGGUUUGUUUCUAAUCUAAACAUGUCUUUUGGCUUACUCUAGAUUUAGCCUAAACCUUAAUUCUUUGUUUGGUCUGAAUCUUGCCUGAACCACUUCCUGCAGCUCCUGAACUUAGCUAUGAAUUAUGUCAUAAUUUUCCUAUGACUUAUGCCUGAAUUCUGUGCUCGUGGGAACCAAGGCCGGCCUGCUCCUCCCACAUGUCGCCAAUCCGGAGCGCAUAAGUCAUAGGAAAAUUAUGAAUAUUGGUGUUGGUUCAUAUGCAGGUUCAGAGAGUAGCGCCAUGCAUGAUGACUACUGGUGAUGUUUUUAUUGCGGGACAGUGCUUUCGAGUUUCAUGAGAUAUGGUCAUUCUCAAAAGAUAGUUCUUUUCUUUGUCAUAUUUGUUCAUGAAGAGUACGCUAUGCCGACUAUAUAUUAUUAUUUGACAUGCCUCCUUUCUUUUCUGAAAAUGAGUGUAAUCCUUUUUCUGUAUGGUUCAAUUGAUACCAUCAAGCAGGUCCUACUUAUUACCCCAUGGUAUGUGUAAUGCCGAUUGCCUCCUAGGCAGCUGUAAGUGUGAGGCCUUAUUACCUCCAACGUCCAGCAACGACACAGUUUAGAGAUAAACGGCAGUCCAUGAUAUGUAAGAUUUUCUCUGAGUGAUGAAUGUAGAUUUUGAUUUCCACUAUGUUUAUGUAGCACAAACUUUGCGGGACUUCAGGAUGCCUCCACCACCAUUGCCUUUCCUUUAUGGUGCCAUUGCUUGUAGGAAUAAACUAAGGGGAGCUUCCUGUUGCUGCUACUGAAGUGGCAAGGCGGACUAGGAGCAAUGUCUUUGAGUACAUACAGAUUUUUGCACGAGUGUGAGCAUGAGUCAAUGGCGACCCCCAGUGGCGGACAUGGUUAAAGUCAACCUUGAUGGAUCCUUUGUAUCAGGUGAUAUGCAUGCCGGCUGGAAGGUGGUUGCUAGAUCCUCAGACUGCAUCAUUGUUUGUGCCCACACCGGUCGCUAGGAGAAUGUCAAGGACGUGUUCACUGCUGAAUCAUGUGCCAUGUCCCAUACUGUCUCGCUUGCUGCUGAUCUAGGGAUGUCCUGGUGGUAUUUGAGACGGAUCCAUAGCUUCUACAGGAAGCACUUGAUCUUACCAAUGUGGACUCAAUGUCCUAUGCAGUUGACAUUGAGGAUACUAAGUUCUAGCUGAAGCUGUGGUUCUUGAAACAUCAAAUAUCUUUGUAUCGUCGAAGUACAAACUUGGUAGCACAUGAAUUAGCGAAUAUGGGUCGUUUGUAUGCACCAGACCACUAUGUGGAAUAGGAGUCUGAUGUACCAGCCCAUGUGGCCGAUUGUGUUAUGGGUGAUUUGCCCAAGUACCAUGAGUCUGAUGUCAUCCAUUUAUCACAUGUAAUGUGUUGUUUUCCUUUUAUGCGCCAGAAUUCUUUCCUAUAUUCUGAGCAUCGAAGCACUUUUAGAUUGUAUACUGGACAUUGAUGAUUCUAUCUACUUUAGUAUAUGCUUUAUGCAUGCUUC
rnacentral:lncRNA from 1 species